rnacentral:rRNA from 1 species
AUUGAACGCUGACGGCAGGCUUAACACAUGCAAGUCGAGCGGGGUGAUGGUGCUUGCACUAUCACUUAGCGGCGGACGGGUGAGUAAUGCUUAGGAAUCUGCCUAUUAGUGGGGGACAACAUCUCGAAAGGGAUGCUAAUACCGCAUACGUCCUACGGGAGAAAGCAGGGGAUCACUUGUGACCUUGCGCUAAUAGAUGAGCCUAAGUCGGAUUAGCUAGUUGGUGGGGUAAAGGCCUACCAAGGCGACGAUCUGUAGCGGGUCUGAGAGGAUGAUCCGCCACACUGGGACUGAGACAAGGCCCAGACUCCUACGGGAGGCAGCAGUGGGGAAUAUUGGACAAUGGGGGGAACCCUGAUCCAGCCAUGCCGCGUGUGUGAAGAUGGCCUUAUGGUUGUAAAGCACUUUAAGCGAGGAGGAGGCUCUUUUGGUUAAUACCCAAGAUGAGUGGACGUUACUCGCAGAAUAAGCACCGGCUAACUCUGUGCCAGCCGCCGCAGUAA